AUUGAACGCUGGCGGCAUGCCUUACACAUGCAAGUCGAACGGUAACAGGUCUUCGGAUGCUGACGAGUGUCGAACGGGUGAGUAAUACAUCGGAACGUGCCUAGUAGUGGGGGAUAACUACUCGAAAGAGUGGCUAAUACCGCAUGAGAUCUACGGAUGAAAGCAGGGGGUCGCAAGACCUUGUGCUACCAGAGCGGCCGAUGGCAGAUUAGGUAGUUGGUGGGGUAAAAGCUUACCAAGCCGACGAUCUGUAGCUGGUCUGAGUGGACGAUCAGCCACACUGGGACUGAGACACGGCCCAGACUCCUACGGGAGGCAGCAGUGGGGAAUUUUGGACAAUGGGCGCAAGCCUGAUCCAGCAAUGCCGCGUGCAGGAUGAAGGCCUUCGGGUUGUAAACUGCUUUUGUACGGAACGAAAAGCCCUGGGUUAAUACCCUGGGGUCAUGACGGUACCGUAAGAAUAAGCACCGGCUAACUACGUGCCAGCCGCCGCGGUAA
rnacentral:rRNA from 1 species